UUGAAAACAAGAGUUACACAAAGAAAAUAGUUGAUAAAACUGUUAAAAGGAUAUAUCCACUUGUGAAUGUGUGGCGUCAGCGAGUACAUGGUUUACUUCGACGAUCACACAAGAGUUGCGUUAUUGCUCGUGAGAGCUCGACAGGUGUGGGAGGGGAAAUUCAGACCACGUUAAUGGAGGUCGAGCGUGAGUUACCCUAAAACGUCACAAGAGUUAAAGUGCUAAAUAAUGUCUCUGUCAAAUGUGAGCAGAUUAUUACAGAGAGAAUAAAACCGUUUGACAGGAAGAUCAAUGGUUGACUUGAUUGAUUGAGCAUCCACCCAAAUGAAUGACACCCCGGAGACACUCUCCCUGUGUCAGAUGGAUAGAUGUACCAAUACUGAUGAUCUAAAAAUCAAGAUUGCUUGGAAAGCACAUCAAUGCAGUAACAAAUUAUGUGCGUGAGCACAUUCUGCAGUUUAGAAGAGGUCUACAGGAGAACAAAUGUCCAUGUCUUUCUCUCAUUUUUGCUGUUGCUGAAAAUAAAUACAAUUAUCUUAUAAUGGGAUCCAUAGAGAUAAAAGUAGUCUUCUAUCAAACCUCUGACAGAGAAAGGAUGUUGAAUGGAUAGAAACUCCAGUUAAAGUGCUUCUUUUAUCAGCACACCUUUUUAUAUGCAAAUGUGGCAAGUUGCCUAUUUACUGGUACAGGAAUUCAGGUGAGAAUUCAUUGCAUCUCUUCUCCAGCUGUGGCCUAUAAUCAAGUGCUGACAAACUCAAAUGUGGAAAAACAUAUUUGGGUUCAUAUGUGUUGGAAAACCAGCAUUUGCAGUUGUUCUGGGCAUGGAAUUAACAAUUCUUUGAAAACUGCUCCCACUGUCUGUCACAUGGACUAUUUGUUAUGUAAAAUUUUCAUACGUUUUUUCUUUAAGUUAUUUUCUUAAAGAAGAGAGUACCUUGCACAAUCAGGCUUUUCCUAAAUUGCUACGUUAAUUGUACUAUUCCGGCGUCGUGGAGCAACUUCAAAAUCUGGUGUAAACCUUCAAAAGUUUUAGUGCUAACAACAGAAGUGAGUAGAACAAGUCAUUAAGGCUAAAUAAGACCAAGGAGCUUACUGAAGGAGCUAUUGAGGGAUUAAAGGCAUUUUGGUGCAGAAGGACCAUCCUGAAUUGAAGUAGAUUUAU